rnacentral:misc_RNA from 1 species
GAUGAAGAACGUAGCGAAAUGCGAUAAGUAAUGUGAAUUGCAGAUUUCAGUGAAUCAUCGAAUCUUUGAACGCACCUUGCGCCUUGUGGUAUUCCACAAGGCAUGCCCGUUUGAGUAUCAUUAAAUCAUCAACUCUAAAACCUUUGUGGUUUUUUUAGAGCUUGGUCUUGAGGGUUUUGCAGGCUUUUUUUUUUUCGAGCCUGCCCCCUUUAAAUGCAUUAGCGAGACUUCCCUAUGCUGAACCGUCUCUUUGUCGUGAUAAUUAUCUGCGUCGAAUUUUGGUUCUCGUUGGGCUUGCUUCUAAUCGUCUGUUAAAGACAAAACGGAUUUGGGUGCAUAUAUGCGCCUUUUUCCAAAACCUUUUUUGAUCUCAAAUCGGGUAGGACUACCCGCUGAACUUAAGCAUAUCAAUAAGCGGAGGA